GACGAACGCUGGCGGCGUGCCUAAUACAUGCAAGUCGAACGCAUUUUCUUUCACCGUAGCUUGCUACACCGAAAGAAAAUGAGUGGCGAACGGGUGAGUAACACGUGGGCAACCUGCCCAUCAGCGGGGGAUAACACUUGGAAACAGGUGCUAAUACCGCAUAAUUCCAUUUACCGCAUGGUAGAGGGAUGAAAGGCGCUUUUGCGUCACUGAUGGAUGGACCCGCGGUGCAUUAGCUAGUUGGUGGGGUAACGGCCUACCAAGGCUGCGAUGCAUAGCCGACCUGAGAGGGUGAUCGGCCACACUGGGACUGAGACACGGCCCAGACUCCUACGGGAGGCAGCAGUAGGGAAUCUUCGGCAAUGGACGCAAGUCUGACCGAGCAACGCCGCGUGAGUGAAGAAGGUUUUCGGAUCGUAAAACUCUGUUGUUAGAGAAGAACAAGGAUGAGAGUGGAAAGUUCAUCCCUUGACGGUAUCUAACCAGAAAGCCACGGCUAACUACG
rnacentral:rRNA from 1 species